rnacentral:rRNA from 1 species
GACGAACGCUGGCGGCGUGCCUAAUACAUGCAAGUAGAACGCUGAAGGAGGAGCUUGCUCUUCUGGAUGAGUUGCGAACGGGUGAGUAACGCGUAGGUAACCUGCCUGGUAGCGGGGGAUAACUAUUGGAAACGAUAGCUAAUACCGCAUAAGAGUAGAUGUCGCAUGACAUUUGCUUAAAAGGUGCAAUUGCAUCACUACCAGAUGGACCUGCGUUGUAUUAGCUAGUUGGUGAGGUAACGGCUCACCAAGGCAACGAUACAUAGCCGACCUGAGAGGGUGAUCGGCCACACUGGGACUGAGACACGGCCCAGACUCCUACGGGAGGCAGCAGUAGGGAAUCUUCGGCAAUGGACGGAAGUCUGACCGAGCAACGCCGCGUGAGUGAAGAAGGUUUUCGGAUCGUAAAGCUCUGUUGUAAGAGAAGAACGAGUGUGAGAGUGGAAAGUUCACACUGUGACGGUAUCUUACCAGAAAGGGACGGCUAACUACGUGCCAGCAGCCGCGGUAAUACGGAGGAUGCGAGCGUUAUCCGGAAUCAUUGGGUUUAAAGGGUCUGUAGGCGGGCUUGUAAGUCAGAGGUGAAAGCGCUUAGCUCAACUAAGCAACUGCCUUUGAAACUGUUAGUCUUGAAUGGUUGUGAAGUAGUUGGAAUGUGUAGUGUAGCGGUGAAAUGCUUAGAUAUUACACAGAACACCGAUAGCGGAGGCAUAUUACUAACAAUUUAUUGACGCUGAUGGACGAAAGCGUGGGGAGCGAACAGG